rnacentral:lncRNA from 1 species
AUGCUGAGAUGAAUUGCAAGAAAGCCAUGAGGUACAAUUGCCUUAGACAAACUAAUUAUAUAGAAAGACUGCAAAGAGAACCUGAUUUUUGGAAUCCAGGGCAUUCAGUAGACAAGAAAAAAUCAGAAUCAUCUUUCUGAUGAACUCAAGUUUCAUUACCUGUUUAAAAAGGUCCCACCUAGACUAUUCAGCUGGUGAAUGUACCAACCAAGAAGGAACAUGGCCCGGUUUUAUAGAGCAGAUAGGAUCAGUCAACCGUAUCAGCAAUGGCGGAAUAUUCACAGGUAUGUAUGAGCAACAGAAAUGAAAGAAAGCACAGUGAAGGCCAUAGUUCCUUGUUGGGUAUUACAGAGCAUGAAAAUACCAAACACUUUUUUUUUUUUUGGUCUAGAUUUGUGGAGACAGUUCAUGCAAAAGCCAAGAAGCUGCUAAGGGAUAAACAUGUCAGUCAUUAACAUUGGACCUAAGAGUCUUAGUUUGCAUUUAGACAUGCCACCAGCAGUGGUUAUCAAGGAUAUGUACCACCAAAGUAUCCUGUUAAAUCAGGGUCACUACAUCUUCUAUAUUCUACAUAAUCAGAUAUCUAUGACAAGAAAAUCCACCCAAUUAUCACCCUUAACAACUUCUGAACCACAUCUGUUUCUAUUGGGUUCUGUACUGUGUCACAGCAACAUUCACCUCUCUGUGACAGAAGAAUCACUGGAGGAAGAUCGGACAACUCUCCACAAAAGUGGUGCUGACAGCCAGAUAUGCAGCCAGCACUGACACAAAGAUGCUGUUAAAGUUUCCAAUAACUGAUUUUGCUAGACUUCCGUAACAGACCUUUACAGAGAAGCUAGCCAAAGAAUAAGUUUUCUGGACUGGAAAACUUUUCUGGAGUGUAAGACCUGGCUUUAAACAACCCUAAUUAAUAAAUACUCUUGAAUUCUUCA